GUGUUCACUUUGGCAGCACAUAUACUAAAACUGAAACGAAACAGAGAAGAUUAGCACAGCCCCCACACAUGGAUGACACACAUUUGUGAAGUGUUCCAUAUUUUU